rnacentral:rRNA from 1 species
GAUGAACGCUGGCGGCGUGCCUAAUACAUGCAAGUCGAGCGAACGGACGAGAAGCUUGCUUCUCUGAUGUUAGCGGCGGACGGGUGAGUAACACGUGGAUAACCUACCUAUAAGACUGGGAUAACUUCGGGAAACCGGAGCUAAUACCGGAUAAUAUUUUGAACCGCAUGGUUCAAAAGUGAAAGACGGUCUUGCUGUCACUUAUAGAUGGAUCCGCGCUGCAUUAGCUAGUUGGUAAGGUAACGGCUUACCAAGGCAACGAUGCAUAGCCGACCUGAGAGGGGGAUCGGCCAAAUGGAAAGUGAAACCGGGUCCAGCUCCCCAGGGGGGGACGCGGGGGGGAAUUUCCCCCAAGGGGGGAAAGCUGGCCGGAGCAACGCCGGGGGGGGGAUGAAGGUUUUGGGUUUGUAAAACCUUUUUAUUAGGGAAAAACAAAUUGUAAAGAAACGGUCCAAAUCUUGACGGUACCAAACAAAAAAGCCCCGGCUAACUACGU